UGGGGAAUAUUGCACAAUGGAGGGAACUCUGAUGCAGCGACGCCGCGUGAGUGAUGAAGGAAUUCGUUUCGUAAAACUCUGUUCUAUGGGAAGAAAAGGACUGUACCAUAGGAGAAAGCUCCGGCUAAAUACGUGCCAGCAGCCGCGGUAAUACGUAUGGAGCGAGCGUUGUCCGGAAUUAUUGGGCGUAAAGGGUGCGCAGGCGGCUUUACAAGUUGGAUGUGAAAUAUUGUGGCUCAACCACAAACGUGCAUCCAAAACUGCAAAGCUUGAGUUAAGGGGAGGUAAGUGGAAUUCCUGGUGUAGCGGUGGAAUGCGUAGAUAUCAGGAGGAAUACCGGUGGCGAAGGCGACUUACUGGACUUAAACUGACGCUCAGGCACGAAAGCGUGGGGAGCAAACAGG
rnacentral:rRNA from 1 species